GACCUUACCUAUUGGUAGAAGAUAACAUAACUCAUAAAGGUGCUGGUAGGGAAACCGAAGGCUCUGAGUACGAAAAACAAAGAA
rnacentral:sRNA from 1 species